UCACUUGUCUCUUAAUUGGAGUCUGGUAUGAAUGGCUGGAUGAAAAAUUUACUUUCUUUAUUUUUUAAAUAAAAUUUAAUUUCUGGAUUAAAAAGUUUAGAUAUAUUUAGAGGACGAGAAGACCCUAUAGAACUUAACUCCCCCUAAAUUAAUUAUUUACUUGUAAAUAAUUUUUUAUUAAUUUUUAGGGGGGGUUCUAUUGGGGUGAUAGAAAAAAUUUUUUAACUUUUUCUACUUUUUUCAUUGGUUUAUGUUUUGUUGAUCCUUUAUUAUGGAUAAUAAGAUUAAGUUACCUUAGGGAUAACAGCGUUAUUAUUUUAGAGAGUUCAUAUUGAUGAAAUAGUUUGCGACCUCGAUGUUGGAUUAAAAUUAGUGUCAGGGGUAUAAUAUUGAUUACUAGGUCUGUUCGACCUUUAAAUUUUUACAUGAUCUG
rnacentral:rRNA from 1 species